UACAGAGGGUGCAAGCGUUGUUCGGAAUUAUUGGGCCUAAAGCAUCCGUAGCCGGUUUUACAAGUCCUCCGUUAAAUCCAGCUGCUUAACAGAUGGGCUGCGGAGGAUACUAUAAGACUAGGAGGCAGGAGAGGCAAGCGGUACUCAGUGGGUAGGGGUAAAAUCCGUUGAUCCAUUGAAGACCACCAGUGGCGAAGGCGGCUUGCCAGAAUGCGCUCGACGGUGAGGGAUGAAAGCUGGGGGAGCAAACCGG
rnacentral:rRNA from 1 species